UCUGGUUGAUCCUGCCAGUAGUCAUACGCUUGUCUCAAAGAUUAAGCCAUGCAUGUCUAAGUAUAAAUCUUUAUACGGUGAAACUGCGAAUGGCUCAUUAUAUCAGUUAUAGUUUAUUUGAUAGUCCCCUACUACUUGGAUAACCGUAGUAAUUCUAGAGCUAAUACAUGCGUCAAGGCCCAACUGCUUCGGCGGGCGGGCUGUAUUUAUUAGAGUUGAACCAGCCGCCUUCGGGUGUUUUUUGGUGAAUCAUGAUAACUUUGCGAAUCGUAUGCUUCGGCGACGAUGAAUCAUUCAAGUUUCUGCCCUAUCAAGUGGCGAUGGUAGGGUAUUGGCCUACCAUGCUAGUGACGGGUGACGGAGAAUUAGGGUUCGAUUCCGGAGAGGGAGCCUGAGAGACGGCUACCACAUCUAAGGAAGGCAGCAGGCGCGUAAAUUACCCAAUCCUGACACGGGGAGGUAGUGACAAUAAAUAACAAUACGGGGCUUUUCAAGUCUUGUAAUUGGAAUGAGAACAAUUUAAAUCCCUUAUCGAGGAUCAAUU
rnacentral:rRNA from 1 species